UCGAAGUCCUGCAGCAGCACGUCCCGCUCGGACUUCUGAGCCAAGCUGCACACCGUGUGCGUGAUCCCCAGCUGGAUGGCGCCUUGCAGAGCCCACGAAGGCGUCUGGAAGGAUGGCGACGGCGACGAAGGCAGAUGCGAGCACGGUCUCCCCAGUCUGAUCCCCUCCCCGGUGGCCACUUGUAUUCUUCAAAACCGGAGCUGGAAUCUAGCGCUGGGAUCGGCUCCUGCGCUCCCCGCGACCCUCGUGAGGAUGAGCGGCUAAGAAAAUGGAUGGAUGUGACGUGGGACUCACAGCUUGCCUGGCGCAGCAGAGUAUGCCGGCUUCCCUGUCCUCUCCCUGCAGACCGCAG